GGCACUUGGUGUACGGGUAACACGCCGCUGUCGGUAACACGUUGUGCGAAGUAGCGGAGAGCUCUGGUUCGAACCCAGAGAGUGCCC